GCCCGAUUAAUUCGUCAAUCGGGGUAAAAUAAUUUGUUUUGCGAUAUAACUGUGAAAUGACAAACUCAUGGUAGUAACAUAACAAAUUGAUCGAGCACUAUUACAAAGUUUCAACUGGUGUUGACAAAAACAAACUUGCGCAUGACUGAUUUAUUUGCGUGACGACUCUUCACAACCGUAUUUGACAAAUCCUCUUCGCGGUCAAUGUAGAAAUGACGAGUUUAAGUCGGCCAUAACGAAUUAUAUUACAAAUUAUUUGCUGAAAAACAAAUCAAUUUGUUGAGGCAAAAUGCAUGACAAAUUUAGCUCCUGAAGACAGUUCGGGACACCCCGCACAUAAUCAGCGUCUUCGAAUCACUCGCCGGUCGCCGUGAUUUUGCUGCGAAGCAAGGCUUGGGUAGAUCGUAAAAGUUUCUUGCAGAGUUUCGCAGGAUUCAUGGUGAGGACCUAAUCACACUGUUCAACCAAGGACUACAAAGACUGGCAGAACCCCUUUCUGGACUUCACAAAGAUAGAUGCAAAUGAGCCAAGAAAGAUGUGACAGUUUACUUCCCGGAAGCUAAGAAGAAAAUGCCAUACAGAUUCUACCAACCUUUUUCAAGGAAGACCUGGUGAUAUAUUCAUCUCAAGUGACAAGGUUGAUACGAAGCCCAUGUACAUACGUGUAUCCUGCAAUCAAGAGGAAUCAUAUGAGCUUGUUCUGGAGGAGCAAAGAGUCUGUCAAGUCCAGGAUAAAGUGCAUGCAUUGGCUUGUUAAGUAGCUGGUUUUUAUUUUUCAUUCAGCCUAUGGCUGUGAGCCAUCAGUCAUGAAAAUUCGUGAGUUUUGCCAACUUGGAAUUCUUCAGGUGAAAGAUGCAUGUCCUGUUGAUAAAUCUGUUAUCAACCUUCUGAACAUGUUGAAGAAGAAAGUGCCCUCCAAACAAGGGAAGUAACUGAAGUCCGGCUGAAGUCAUGGAACAGCUGUUUUUAAGUUACAGAGCAUGUCCUUUAGGUUAAAAUUGUUACAAGUUUAAAGAUUGUAAGUACAUGUAUGUACAGUUGUAUUGAUAAAUUGUGAUUUUUUGAAAGAGAUUUGAAAAAGAAAGUUUAAAGUCACAUUCAGAGCACAGUAGAUGGAGAUGGCUCACACACUUGAUGAAGCAUAUUCUAUGGAAGCUCAAAAGUGCCACCGAGAUGUUGAGAAGUCGACAUCAUGGUAGCAAAAGAUCAAAUGACGAGAUCCUGGAUCUCAUCAUGUCCACAUCUUUCAGAAGAGAUGAUCAGCAGACAAGAUCCCGGAUCUCA